rnacentral:misc_RNA from 1 species
GAACACAGAGGAUCGAUAAUGACCAGGAACUGUAACAGGUUCUGUUUCCUCGUGAGAGGGGCUUGGGGAACCGAGUCUGGCGUUGCUAUAAGAAAUCUACAGCGUUGUUCGUUACUUGUAACGUGGCAACCCUGAUGGGAAUGGUAACGGAUGAUCCAUUUGACGUACUGCUACCACUUGUGAUAGCGGUAAGGUCUGUUGAGUGCAAUCGUAGAGCAAAUGUUCGCAUUUGAA